AAGCGCGCGCAGGCGGUCUUUUAAGUCUGAUGUGAAAGCCCACGGCUCAACCGUGGAGGGUCAUUGGAAACUGGAGGACUUGAGUGCAGAAGAGGAGAGUGGAAUUCCACGUGUAGCGGUGAAAUGCGUAGAUAUGUGGAGGAACACCAGUGGCGAAGGCGGCUCUCUGGUCUGUAACUGACGCUGAGGCGCGAAAGCGUGGGGAGCAAACAGGAUUAGAUACCCUGGUAGUCCACGCCGUAAACGAUGAGUGCUAGGUGUUGGGGGGUUCCACCCUCAGUGCUGAAGUUAACACAUUAAGCACUCCGCCUGGGGAGUACGACCGCAAGGUUGAAACUCAAAGGAAUUGACGGGGGCCCGCACAAGCAGUGGAGCAUGUGGUUUAAUUCGAAGCAACGCGAAGAACCUUACCAGGUCUUGACAUCCUCUGACAAUCCUGGAGACAGGACGUUCCCCUUCGGGGGACAGAGUGACAGGUGGUGCAUGGUUGUCGUCAGCUCGUGUCGUGAGAUGUUGGGUUAAGUCCCGCAACGAGCGCAACCCUUGAUCUUAGUUGCCAGCAUUUAGUUGGGCACUCUAAGGUGACUGCCGGUGACAAACCGGAGGAAGGUGGGGAUGACGUCAAAUCAUCAUGCCCCUUAUGACCUGGGCUACACACGUGCUACAAUGGACGGUACAAAGGGCAGCGACACCGCGAGGUGAAGCGAAUCCCAUAAAGCCGUUCUCAGUUCGGAUUGCAGGCUGCAACUCGCCUGCAUGAAGCCGGAAUUGCUAGUAAUCGCGGAUCAGCAUGCCGCGCUGAAUACGUUCCCGGGCCUUGUACACACCGCCCGUCACACCACGAGAGUUUGUAACACCCGAAG
rnacentral:rRNA from 1 species